UCACCCUUCUUCCUCCAUAGGUAAGGUACUUUUCUUUUACCCCUAUGGCUUCUUUCAUGAUUUUCCCUGUGUCUCUUGUGACUCUUAUAUUCUGGUUGGGAAAACUGACAAUAAACAACAACAGUAAACAAAGAAAUAAAAAUAAAUCCAUGGUGAUAAGUACCCUUAUAUGGAAUAGAGAAUGGUCAGGUAGGUAGGUGAAAAGAGACUGCACAUUAGAUAGGGUGGAACAAAUGAGGCUU
rnacentral:lncRNA from 1 species